rnacentral:lncRNA from 1 species
GACAAAAAGCACUUUCUCUCUACUCUUUUGUUGUGCCGUUGGAUUCGAAACCCUUUUGCCCCGAGAACAAUACACUGCAGAGUUACUUUAUGUUGCCGCUUUCUGCUGUGCUUUCUCCGACCCUUGGAAUAAUAGGCCGCCAUUUUAAAGGCAGAAAACAUGUAGCUGCAGUGAAUCUAAGUUGAAUGCAAGUCAGGCCCGUAAGUACUGCUACUCCAACUCUUAGCUGGACUGCUCUAAGAGGUUUGAUUUAAAGAAAGCAAUGUGGCACUCCAGUUAGAAGGCCCAGCAAGCAGGAAAUGGACUCCCACAUCAAUAGAAUGCUAACCACCCCGGUGGGCACACAACCCAGAAGAAUGUAUUUACAGGAGGGAAGCUUUCAAGGAGGUGCAGUUCUGACUCCCUUAACAUGAAGGUGGAAUACAGAAGAAGCCCUGCGGCAGGAUGGAGAUGGACAGAUGUGUCAGGACUUGGCAUCUGAAUUUGUGAGGUUUCUGUCUCUAAACGAGAGCUUCCUAACCAUGGCACUGACCCCCGCCCCUUCCUUCACAGUGCAGGGAGAAUGAGAGAAUGAGGGUUUCUAGCGCUCCAGGUAUGACUACAAAGGAUGGCAAUUGCAGAACGUCUCAGAGGCCCAAGACAAUAUUUUUUCUAGCCUAGUAACUGUUUUGGACAUGAGAUUUGUUAUAUUUCAUAAGACCCACACAUCUUUUAAUUUACUAUGUUGCAGAAUUGAGAAAAUUCCGAUACCUCCUAAUAUAGUUUGGAUAUCUGUCCUCUACAAAUCUCAUGUUGAAAUGUGAUCCGUCAUGUUGGAGGUGGGCCUAGUGGGAAGUGUUUGGGUCAUGAGGUUGGACCUGUGAUGAAUGUGUUAGUGCUGUCCUUGUGGUAAUGAGUGAGUUCUUGCUCUAUUAGGUCACGUGAGAGCUGGUUGUUUAGAAAAGCAUGCCACCUCUCUUGCUCCCUCUCUCAUCACGUGACAGCCUGCUCCUCCUUCACCUUCUGCCAUGAUUGUAAGUUUCCUGGGGCCUCACCAGAAGCAGAUGCUCAUGCCAUGCUUGUUGUACAGCCUGCAGAACCUUGCGCCAAAUAAAC